UGGGGUGGAGAUCUGGCCCUUGUGGCUUUCAUGAUGACCACCACCUGCAGCCUAACCAUUUGGGGCACACAGGAGAGGGUGGCUCUUUCUUGGGGAGAUCAUUGUUCAAAAGCCCCUCUAUACCGUUUGUCUCUGCCGUGUUGCCUGCCAGAAGCAAUGUCUGAUGCCUCCACUUGGCAGCCACAGGCUGUGAGGUCAUCUUUUCACCACUCGCUGUUCCUUCAGCAUUUAAGCUCUCUGGCAGUGACUCAAUGUUUACAAUCGCAUUAACCUGUGAGGAACGCCGUGGCUGUGUCGAAGAACAAGGCCCCUGCUGGCACCAAGGUCACGCCUUCCAAUGGAAGGGGAAGCAGUGACAAAGGUGAAAAUCAUGGCGGUAACAGAAGUCAUUUACAGUGCGGAGUCUCCAACCCACAAUCACUGGGCAUCCCAUGGCUUUAAGCCAGGGCAUAAGCCUCAAGAGAAUCAAGACUGCUGUGUUCAUUGCUUCAUAAUCAGCACCCAAGACAAUGCCUGGAACAUAGUGGUGUUCAGUAAAUAUUGCUGACGGAGGAGUAAAUCUGUUGUAUCUGUUUAGUUUUUACACAAGACUCCUGGGAAGAGAAAAGCAUGCCAAGCAUCAACUUUAGAAUAGUUUAAUCUUCUCAUUUUACAGACAAGAAAACUGAGGCUGAAACAGGUCAUGGCUUAUGCCAAGUCUGGCUGAUGCAGAGAAUGAGGCUGAGGCUCCAUGGUCCACGAGCAGCCUGUCCUCAAGAGCAUAGACAAUUUUGCUGAGCACAUCUGACAUAUGACAGGGUGAUGGAGAGGAGCUGGAAGGACAUUUCCUGGGCACGCCUGAGACAUUCCCCAAAUGAAAAGGAGAAAAUUGAAUCCAGAGACACUGAACAAAUGGGAAAAGAAGGAACGACCAUGCCCCUGUCUGACAGGCUGCCCGCCUGGGGAUGGCAACGGGAGAAAGCAGAUGGCUGCGCUGGCACACAGCAGCUGGCUGGAGCAGUACAAAUUGAGCACCCUUGGUGAAUAUCAUUAGGGUAAGUGGUGCACUAAAACACCUAGAGGAAGAACAAGCAAGCAGAACACACACACACACACACACACACAGACACACACACACACACACACACAUGCAUUUUUAAAUUUUCAGUUUAUUCUUUCAAUUUCCCUUCACUACAAGGUAGGCUCCAUGAAGACAGGGCCUUUGUCUGUCUUAAUAAUUAUUAGUUGGAUACAUGAAAAGAUGAAUGAAUUAAUUAUUAAGCAUCUCCCAUAACAGACAUAGUGCUAAGCAUAGAGGAUGGUUUCUGCAUCAGGAGGAAUCACAAGGGGAAAUAAAUAAGACCUUCAACUACCAAGUGGUGUGUUUAGUGUUAUGAAGGAGCUGAAAGGGUCCCAGAAGAAGCUAGGCUUUGGGGGUCAGGAGGUCUCAAGAAACGCACCAGGUGGUGGUUGAAGAUUAGCUCAGGUAUUACAAGAAAAGCCUAAAUGGAUCAGAAGUAGAAGACGGAGAACUGAGAGAAUAGCAUGUGCUAAAGCCAGAAACAAGAGGGGGCUAGAGGAACUCCAAGCAGCACCAUGUCAUGUGGAAGGGACAUAGCCUUUUGAAUUAGACAGACCCAAGUUCAAAUUCUAACGCUGCUCCUUACUACCUGAGUAUUUUUGAACAAUUUACUCUGCUAGACUGAUCUUUGGUUUUAAAAAUCGGUAACAUAGGAAAAAUAUUGCCAGCAUUUCAGGUUCUUCCAAGGAUUACAUGAGAUCGUGUUUUCUAUAGAGGAUGACAUGGUUGAGAUCAGGAAUUGCUGGCUGCUACUCUAGUGUGGAAUCGGGGAAAGGUGGCCUGAACCAGCAGGCAGGGGUCAAUUCAUCUGUGGCUUGAGGGUCCCAGGAGAAUUUUGUACUUUGACCAGGAGGCAUGAGGAGUAGUUGCAGGGUUUUAAAUAAAGGGAUUAUGAGAGUGCAGGCAAUGAGAGUUUUUAGUAGUCACUCACAAUAAUCCUGGAAGGAAAUAAAGGUCUCUCCAAGGAAGAUGCAAUGGGAAUGAAGAGGAGAGGAUGCACAUAGGAUACACAGGAGGAAGAACUGAUAGGACUUUAUUACUUAUGGGUCCUAUGAAAGGAAGAGACAUCUAGAACUAUUUCUACUCAUACUUCUUAGUAAGCUCUUCAGAUGAGAGUCAGAACCAAACUCUUUUUUAACAGCGGGCAAUAAAAUAAGUACAGGAUCCAGAGUAAAGGUUUACAAUGUUUUAUAGAAAGAUAUUUUAAUUUGAAUUUUAUGAAAGUAUCAAUCUGCAAUAGAUUCCUCAUUUUAGUUGAAGAACCAUUGGUUUACAACAGUGCUGUCCAAUGCAAGCCACGUAUGUAAUAGGUGACAUUUAUGUUAAUAUUAUUUUUUAUUUAACCUUAUAUAUCCAAAGUAUUUUCAUUUUGUGAUAGUUAAUAUUGAGUGUCAACUUGAUUGGAUUGAAGGAUGCAAAGUAUUGUUCCUGGGUGUGUCUGUGAGGGUGUUGCCAAAGGAGAUGAACAUUUGAGUCAGUGGGCUGGGAGAGGCAGAUCCACCUUCAACUGGGUAGGCACAAUAUAAUCAGCUGCCAGUGCAGUAGGAUAAAAGCAGGCAGAAGAACGUGGAAAGACCAGACUGACUGAAUCUUCCAGCCUUCAUCUAUCUCACAUGCUGGAUGCUUCCUGCCCUUGAACAUCAGACUCCAAGUUCUUCAGUUUUUGGACUCUUGGACUUACACAAGUGGUUUGCCAGAGGCUCUCAGGCCUUCGGCUGCAGACUGAAGCCUGCACUGUUGGCUUCCCUACUUUCGAGGUUUUGGGACUCAGACUGGCUUCCUUGCUCCUCAGCUUGCAGAAGCCUAUUGUGGGAUUUCACCUUGUGACCAUGUGAGUCAAUAACCCUUAAUAAACUCCAUUUCAU
rnacentral:lncRNA from 10 species